rnacentral:rRNA from 1 species
AUUGAACGCUGGCGGCAAGCCUAACACAUGCAAGUCGAACGAGUGGCGGACGGGUGAGUAAUGUCUGGGCAACUGCCCGAUGGAGGGGGAUAACUACUGGAAACGGUAGCUAAUACCGCAUACCAUCGGAUGUACCCAUAUGGGAUUAGCUAGUAGGUGGGGUAAAGGCUCACCUAGGCGACGAUCCCUAGCUGGUCUGAGAGGAUGACCAGCCACACUGGAACUGAGACACGGGCCAGACUCCUACGGGAGGCAGCAGUGGGGAAUAUUGCACAAUGGGCGCAAGCCUGAUGCAGCCAUGCCGCGUGUAUGAAGAAGGCCUUAGGGUUGUAAAGUACUUUCAGCGGGGAGGCGUUACCCGCAGAAGAAGCACCGGCUAACUCCGUGCCAGCAGCCGCGGUAAUAC